rfam:Schistosoma curassoni strain Dakar, Senegal genome assembly, scaffold: SCTD_scaffold0006298
AUCAAACUAACGAGUGCCAUAUAGGACGAAACGCGCGUCCUGGAU